AGUAAUGCUUAGGAAUCUGCCUAUUAGUGGGGGACAACAUCUCGAAAGGGAUGCUAAUACCGCAUACGUCCUACGGGAGAAAGCAGGGGAUCUUCGGACCUUGCGCUAAUAGAUGAGCCUAAGUCGGAUUAGCUAGUUGGUGGGGUAAAGGCCUACCAAGGCGACGAUCUGUAGCGGGUCUGAGAGGAUGAUCCGCCACACUGGGACUGAGACACGGCCCAGACUCCUACGGGAGGCAGCAGUGGGGAAUAUUGGACAAUGGGGGGAACCCUGAUCCAGCCAUGCCGCGUGUGUGAAGAAGGCCUUAUGGUUGUAAAGCACUUUAAGCGAGGAGGAGGCUACUUUAGUUAAUACCUAGAGAUAGUGGACGUUACUCGCAGAAUAAGCACCGGCUAACUCUGUGCCAGCAGCCGCGGUAAUACAGAGGGUGCGAGCGUUAAUCGGAUUUACUGGGCGUAAAGCGUGCGUAGGCGGCUUAUUAAGUCGGAUGUGAAAUCCCCGAGCUUAACUUGGGAAUUGCAUUCGAUACUGGUGAGCUAGAGUAUGGGAGAGGAUGGUAGAAUUCCAGGUGUAGCGGUGAAAUGCGUAGAGAUCUGGAGGAAUACCGAUGGCGAAGGCAGCCAUCUGGCCUAAUACUGACGCUGAGGUACGAAAGCAUGGGGAGCAAACAGGAUUAGAUACCCUGGUAGUCCAUGCCGUAAAC
rnacentral:rRNA from 1 species